rnacentral:ncRNA from 1 species
CCCGCCGAGGGGCGCUGCGACCGCGACGCUGAAGAGCGCGGCCAGGCUCGGCGGGGUCCACCCAGAACGGCGCCCGGUUGCU